CAGUUUCUGGAUUCUAAUAUUUGGUUGAGUUUUUCAUCUGUGUUCAUAAGUUAUAUUGGUCUAUAAUUCUCUUGUUUUGUUGGGUCUUUGCCUGGUUUGGGGAUGAGUAUGAUAUUAGCUUCAUAGAAUGAGUUUGGGAUUUCUCCCUCUGUGUCUAUGUCAC